ensembl:lncRNA
GGACAAGUUCCUGAGAAAAGUACUUGUUUUCAUGCUGAGUAUCUCUGCUGGAAAAUAAGGAGUAAAUAAAUGAGUAAUUUUAAGCAAAUAGUCAGACUUUUUGGACAGGGACUUCUCCUCAGCUGGAAAUUUGAUGCUUUCAAGGAUAUUGUUGUGUAGGGACAUAUGGAGUUCAUCUUGGAGAUUAUGAGCACUGAUGGAGAGCUAGAUGGGCACUAUAUUACCAAAUGUGUACAAAGAAACCUGAGUCAUGCAAACCAAGUGAGUGAUUCAGUUCCAGUAGAAAAUAAUAAUAAUAAUUAAAAAAACAUGGAUAUCAAGUCACAAAAAAAUAGUUUGAAGGCAGUAGUCGAGGUAAAGCUAAAUAAUUUUAGAGAACAAAGAGAAAGACUUGGUGUAUUGUAAUUGUUGAGUCAUGGCCUAAACCACUGAUUGAGCACCUGGGGAAAGGACCCGGUCAGCCGUGGGAGCACAGGUGAAUGCAAUUCAGCUGUAGGAUUGGAAGGGGUGGGGCUUGGCUGCACCUCCCUUAGACCUCUUUUAAGGGCUGACUGGCAUUGUGGUAGUAUUUCUUUCUAGAGAUUCCUUCUUGGUGCAGCUUUCCUCUGUGAGCCUAGAAUCUUCUGAUGUGGUUGAGCAAUCUUCUUCCCUUUCUUUAUAGCACUUUUCUAUUGUGGUGGUCCUUUUGUUAUCAUGUGUUUCUUGUAACGCCUUUUCCAUUGUAUUGAUCUGUCUAAUUGCUACAUAUGGAAACAAGAGGAGACCUACUAGCAGAAAACUUCUGGAAGCAUGUGAAAAGCUAAUAUGCAGCCACAUGUGGACAGUUUUGGGGGCAGCAAGACUGGAGAGAAAUUAAAAAGGGCUGUGAGAGGUAUAGCAGAGGGACAUGGAACUAUGCCCAGGGUCAACAAGCAAGGGAAGGAAGGGUACUCAGCAGCUGUUAUUUAUUCACAAAGAAGAAACGCUAUCUCUGAAAAAACUGCUGUGGUCCAGUCUGUGUUAUUUACUUCACCGAUACCAUGGGCUGGGAGAAGCAGCACAUUACAACUGUUGUUGUCAGCAUCUCCUCCAGAAGACGUAACGUAUAGUCUCUAUGCCCUGUGGAAUUCUGGAGAGUGCAUGCUUUCAUCGGAGACUUCACAAAGCAUUCACAACAGGAUUUUACAGCUUCUGUAAAAGAAGAUAAGCAGAGCAGAAGAACUAUCUGUUUAAGGAGUUGGUACCAAUUUUCUAUUGUUAUCAGGGUAUGCUACAAAUGUACUGCUCUAUGUAUCAGCAAUGAAACUGAAAAUCUGCUAAGACUGUAUCCCCUUUAGAGGGGAAGGGGUGGAAGGAGAGAUCCUAAUUUUAAGAACAGUGAGUGAGCUCAUUUUUGUUUAAACUUACCUAUGGAGCUUUGACAUUAUCGUGUUACAAAAACAGUAGAAAUGCUGAGCGCUCCUGCAAGAAAACCCCUUUUACCUCUCAUCAGCUGUACACAGUACAAUGUCUGUCUUGUGUAUUAGAGCUAUCAUAGAACUCGAAUGAUGAAGUUAAACUGAGGAAUUUUCCUGCUGUGUCCUGAAACUGUGGAGGAGAAAAGAUUGUCACACUCCAUCUCUUAGGAAAGAAGUUGGAACUAAUGUAUGUUAAUGCUGAAGAAUCUGGUUAAUGUGCAUGGCAAAUUCUUUUCUUACAGACAACUACAUAGAGGCAUAUUAUAAAUUGAAACUAAUAUCCAGUCCACAACAAACACUGAGGUGGCUGGGAACAGGCAGUCGGCUGAGAACGCAGCAAGCUGCUAAUGAUAUACUUCAAAUGAACAAUACGUUACAGCCUUUUGCUGAAAUGUCUCAUGCAGUACAGAUCUCUGAGGAGAAAAACAGAAACAAACAGUCGACAUCUCAGUAUAAUCAAAACCCCUGAUCUAGGUGAGAACAAUAUUCAAUUGUAAAGCAUUUUUUGCCCUUUCCUGGGAAGAUCUAUUCACGUGUGUGAGUUUUGUUGUCCUUGUUCUGUUCUUUGAGAUGUCAGGCUGCAGGAAAAUUCAAAAGCUUGGUUCAAGUUAAAUGUGAUCAUAAAAGGCAGUGAUACCAGGAUCUCAGUGAAACGCACAGCACAGGAUUUGAGGGAAAGUCUGAAUUUCAUACAUAGUACUGAAAUGUAAAAUUUUCAAAGUACUUCAGUCUUGAGUGAGACAUGGAUUCAGAUUUCUUAGCCACAGCUUGAAGAGAGACAGAGGUAUUUGCUCUCUGAUAUGUCUUUGGUCACUGAUUUGUCUGCACGUGGAAGGAAAUGAAAACAACUUCCUUAGCUCAAGGUGAGCUGCUGGGUUCAGUAUGCUACAUUUUUCAAAAUGCCUCCAAGCACAAAUUUAACUUGUCUUUAAUUGUAGUUUUUAAUGUCAUUUUGAUCAGAAAUUUGACUGUUUGAACAAAUUGGAUUUACAGUACAAUCAAAGCCUCCUCAAGACAAACUCUGAGCCCAACAUCUGUGUUUUUAGUUCUGUUUAGAUGAAUGUAACUUAGUAAAAUGCAUCCAACGAACUUGUGAUCAAUUUACCUUGCAUAGGGUUACUUGUUUUUUCCUGCCUAUUGCAGUUUUUCCACUAUUUUUCUAUUAGAAGUCACAUCUAAUGACCUGUCACACUUUCAUUUUCUCAGCAGUAGUGAAAAUGCCUUGCGUUUUACAGGUUUGUAAAAUGCUUAUGCUUUCUAGAUGCCUUUUUUUGCACCAGGCUUCCAAGUUAGUGUGCAUCAUGUUAGUGAAUAACCAAGAGGUACGAAAGUAUCACAGCUGGAGUAAGAGGAAACUUUAGCUAUGAAGAAACCUUAGAUCACUACUGUGCUUUCUUUCUCUGUUUCAAAUGACAAAAGACAUUCAAAGUAGCAUUACAAAAUUCUCAAAUUAGAUGCAGUUCAGACCCUAAAAUACACUCUGUCACAACACUGUCAGUAGGCAACCUCUGUAACCUCCUUUUAUGUCAUACUGGUUCCUGUACUGCCUCUCUACCCUUGAAAGCCUCAGCAGCAAUGAGCUGGUCUUCCUGAGUUAAGUACUACCACCAAGCCCAAAAAAGAAGCUCCCUCAUUGAAAGUUGAACUGUUUGCCAUUAUCCUUAAUCUCUUCCACCAUUUUGUGAAAAUUUUGUUUUUUUUUAACAUCUGGUUCUCUCCCUAUCUUGUUAAAUAGCAAAAAAUAUAUAUAUAUAUUCUUUUUCCUCAGAGUUCCUAAGGAAGUGUACUCCUUUUACCUUGUAGCUCCAUUACUGCUACAGAGAGCAGUAAUGAUUUGGGCUUUGAAUCACCUGCUUAUGUUACCUGAAAAUGCAUUCCCUGGCCUAUCUGGGGGGAGCAACCAUGAAAGCCAGAGGAGAUGUCAUAUCAUUUAAGAAAACUUCUGCUCUGACCCUACUUCUCAUCCUAGGAAUAUCUGCUGAUUUUUUUUCCACUGAGAUUCAAUUUCACUCUAUAAAGGUCUGUUUAGGAAGUUGUGACCUUCAGCAUUCAAAGGGAAGGACGUUAAUCUGUAAUGCUGCUUCAAAAUCCUGUAGACCAUACAGAUAUCAGAAUUAUUUUGGCUUUUAAAUAGAAGUGACAAAAUGGAAUUUUGCUUCCACAAGGAUGAGGGACAGGGACCAGACCGCUGCUACUGUUGCUAGAGAUUCGGGAGGCAGUGGGAAAAGAGGAGGUAAAAAAGAAGAAUGUGAUUUUUUUUUUUUUUUAAAGAAUGCUUCUUAAGAAACAAAUUAAUCUUUUGCUGGUGGAUCUGUUCACUGGACUCUUUGCUUAACAGCAAACAUCUUCAAACCUGCAGCAUAAUUCAUGGGACAGUCAUUACAGGGCUACCCUGGGGCAGAAAGAACUGGGGGAAUUUUGAUCCUCAGUCAUGGUGGAAGUACGUGCCAUGGAAGGAGUAUUUGUCUCUUUGCCAAAGCUUCUCUCCUUUUCUCCCAAACUUGGCAUGUACUCACACUUGGGGCCAGAUAUCUGAGCUUGCAGACCUGUUUUCAGUUUCAAGAGUAGUCAGUAUCCAAAAUUCAUCUUUAAAGGAUUCUCAAUUCAUUUAAAAAUUCACCCUUUCUCUCUUCUGAUAUAUCAAGAGCUUUUCCUUGCUAAUCCUUAAAAGAUAAUGUCAGUCUUAGACAUUUUUAUGUAUUCUAAGUGGCAGUGCAAAUGACUUUAUAGUGUUCUGAAGAUAUUUUCUUACUCCAUAGUUUUCAUUUUGUGUAUCCUUUUAACGAUUCAUUAAGCAAUGUGGUAAGCCCAAUUAUAUCAAUUUCUUCACUUCCUCUUUAGCUUAAAAUAUAUUUAGGAAGCUUAUUUCAGAAGAAUGGCUACUGUUCUAGGAAAAGGUUGUCUUUCAGUUUUUAAGAGAGUAUUUUAGACUUAUUUGAAUUAGUAUUUGCAUUACCAUGUGAUUGUGCUACAGAAGACAAAAUUCAAGAUAUGUACGUGUUUGAUGUGAGAUUUCUUUCCAAGUUCAUUUGAGAAUAAAGGUCUUGUCCAGUUUAAGACCA